rnacentral:rRNA from 1 species
ACAUCCAGCGAAUUCGGUAGAGAUACCUUAGUGCCUUCGGGAACGCUGAGACAGGUGCUGCAUGGCUGUCGUCAGCUCGUGUUGUGAAAUGUUGGGUUAAGUCCCGCAACGAGCGCAACCCUUAUCCUUUGUUGCCAGCGGUCCGGCCGGGAACUCAAAGGAGACUGCCAGUGAUAAACUGGAGGAAGGUGGGGAUGACGUCAAGUCAUCAUGGCCCUUACGAGUAGGGCUACACACGUGCUACAAUGGCGCAUACAAAGAGAAGCGACCUCGCGAGAGCAAGCGGACCUCAUAAAGCGCGUCGUAGUCCGGAUUGGAGUCUGCAACUCGACUCCAUGAAGUCGGAAUCGCUAGUAAUCGUAGAUCAGAAUGCUACGGUGAAUACGUUCCCGGGCCUUGUACACACCGCCCGUCACACCAUGGGAGUGGGUUGCAAAAGAAGUAGGUAGCUUAACCUUCGGGAGGGCGCUUACCACUUUGUGAUUCAUGACUGGGGUGAAGUCGUAACAAGGUAAGCGUAGAUGA